GGCCGCCCGGUGCUCCCCCGCCACUCCCGCACUCACCGCCGGCCGCGGCCUCCCGCCCUUUGCUCAUCCCGCGCCUCCAGCCCCGCUCCGUUCCCGGUUGGCGCCGUUCACGCGCUUCCGGCGCGCCGCCCGCUCCCCGCCAAUCGCGGCGAGGGCGGGGCAGACCGCGAUGGGCGGGGGAACGUGCCCCGCCCGGUACCGGCCCGCCCCCGCGGGAACGGGGCCCGCGCACAGCCCGCGGAGGGCUCGGCCCUCACCGGCCGGAACCGGCGCUCCCGCUCCCUCGCCCCCGCCACCUCCGCACCGGACUCGGCCAGCGAAGGGGCUCCAGCCCGUACCCGUUACCGAGCUCCCCUUCCCGGCCGAGGCCGCUCCCCCGCCCCCGACCUCAGCCCCGGCACGGCUGACGCAGUGGGAUAAGCAGAAUCAGACAGACAGCAGCCGGUAACGGGGUCCCUGACGAGGAUUCACUCCAUGAUGCACAAUAGAAAACCAGAGGGAAGUGACAGGAUGGUUUACUGGCCCCGGGAGCCAGUGGGAUCCAGCUGGUUCAGCUCGGACUGAUCCAGCAGUUCAAAGUCAUCCCCUUCAGCAUCAGUGUCCAAGUCCAAACUGGCUGCUCUGAGAAUAGAGAACACACAGUUCUGACAGCCAAGAACUGGAGCAGCUCAGUGCUGUGAAAAGCCCACAGCAGCUGCUUCCUAGGAGAUGGCUGCAGAGGAGGAACUGCCUCUCUCUCUUCCCAAGGAUCUGCCAUGCCAGACAUGCAGCCCCUACCGCCCAUCAAGGCCGGAACCUCUGUUCACAGCCCGUUCCAGGGAUCAAAGAUCCAGGUGUGAAACCUUGGGGGCAGAAAGGGCACAGGACUCUAUUGGAAUAUUACCAAUACUGCCAGAUGGGACAUGCCUCAGUUUGUCUGGCCCUUGCUGCUGAACCAAACAGCGGCACUGUGGUGUUUUCACCCCAGAGACACUUUGGGGUGUGUGGUGUUUUCACCCCACAGACACUUUUGGCUGGCUGGGUGUGUGGUGUUUCCCCCCACAGACACUUUUGCCUGACCGGAUGUUGCAGCUGGGCACUGCAGACAAGUCCAGGCCUGCAGGAGCUCUGGUGGUGGUGGGAUGGAGCUUCCCCCUGUAACAGUGGCUGCUCCUCAGGUUUACCUCUGGUGGAGAAGCUUUAAGGCGACGGUGAAGGAAAGGAGUUGGUUCUGAUGGAGGGUUUGGAUCCAGAGCUUUAUUC